UAGCGCUGUUCUUGUCCCUGGGGAUUCAGCCUCUGGAUUGGGACCUGCAGCCCAGAGAAGGGAAAUGGGGGAAAUCCAAGUUCCCAGGUACAUCAUGAUACCCUUCCAGCCUCUCCUUCCUGGAAAUUGCCAUCACCAGCGGCCAUAGCACCCCCAUGGGACCUGGGGGAUGGAGUUGGAAGCCCCCUCCGGCAACACUGGCCAGAUUGGAGAGACCAGCAGGGAAGCUCCCUCCUACCCCCAGGGAGGCUGAAGCCAGCUCUCCAUGGGCACGAAACCUGGAACCCAGGACCCUGGGGGGCAGCUGCACGGUAUUCCAGCACAAGGAUGUAUGGUAAUUUACAGAUGCACUUCUUGGCAGAGGGACCUUCAGGUUGCUUCCAGCC
rnacentral:lncRNA from 1 species